UUACCAUGGGAUAGAACUUAGCCAUGAACUUCCUAGAUAGUUGUUCCCAUGAUGUGAUGGAAUUUGAAGCAAGGGAAUACAGCCAUGCAGCAGCAUGAUCCUCUAAAGUCAUGGAAAACAACCUUAAUUUAAUACCCUCUUCAUCUAAGUUUUGAUUUCUAAAUAUUUGACAGAUUGUCAAAAAUUUGUUUAGAUGAAUAUACGGUUGUUCACUCUCAAAC
rnacentral:lncRNA from 1 species